ACAAGAGUAGGAGGAGGAGGAGGGAGGGAGGGAGGAUGACGGUCUGCGGGUGAGGCGGCUUGAAAGUCAGUCGGCUUCACAGCCAUUGCAGCAGAGGCCCCGAAUCAAAGAGAAAGACGAAUGAAGACAGGCAGCGCGCACAGAAAUGCUUUGGAGGCGACGAAGGUGGCGACCCCGGAAAGCUUUUGUGUCUGCGUGUGCGAUGUGGCUGCGCAUGCUGCCGCUUGAGGUGGCGCCUUCACGACUUGCUUCGCAGUAAGCGCGCGACCUGCUGAGCAACGUCGUCGUCCUCUUUCCCCUCCUCCUCGCCCUCCCUAUUCCCAUUAAGCAGCAGCAGCCGCUCGCCGGGGCUCUCCGCACUAGAACUAAUUGCUGGAGUUCGCUUUGCGCCCGCUGGUCAGGGCGGCAAUUGGGAACCACGGCGCGCUCGGAGUCGGAGGCUUCUCCCUCCAGUGGACGGGUGGCCAGCCAGGCAAGCGAACUGGGCAAGCCAACCAGCCUCCCGCCUGGCCGGCCGCAAACAGAACUGCCGCUUGCCAAGAGGAGAGCUGGUCGUGUCGUAGCCGCCGCAGAAGCAGCGGGGGUCGUUGUGGGAGAUUUUCCUUUUUAUCUUUUUGAUGGUAGACUUAACAUGGUCCACUAGUCUGCAAUUUCACAUGUUCUUCAGGAAUUCUUAAAGGAAUCAAGCAUGAGAAAUAGGAUGAGAAAAGACAAAAAAAGAAAACCUGGGUCUUAGAGAGCUGCUUGAAGAAAAGGCAUGUUUUUAUUCUGAAGCCAAAUUUUACAUAAUCGAUCUAGAUUAUCAUCUUUGAUGCACGUAUAUAUGAUAGCAGAGAUGGAUCAAAAUGGAACUUCGGAUGUUGAACAAAUAGGUAAUGGAGGAAACAUCCAAGAACUAUUGAAACUGCUGUACAUUGAAUUUUGUAGCAGGCUAUAGAUGUCCUUAUUAAUCUAAUCUCAAUUCACAAAUAACAAAACAGCCUUUAAAGUGAAUAAAAAGAAAGCUG
rnacentral:lncRNA from 1 species